GUGGGGAAUCUUAGACAAUGGGGGCAACCCUGAUCUAGCCAUGCCGCGUGAUCGAUGAAGGCCUUAGGGUUGUAAAGAUCUUUCAGCUGGGAAGAUAAUGACGGUACCAGCAGAAGAAGCCCCGGCUAACUCCGUGCCAGCAGCCGCGGUAAUACGGAGGGGACUAGCGUUGUUCGGAAUUACUGGGCGUAAAGCGCACGUAGGCGGAUUGGAAAGUUGGGGGUGAAAUCCCGGGGCUCAACCCCGGAACUGCCUUCAAAACUCCCAGUCUUGAGGUCGAGAGAGGUGAGUGGAAUUCCGAGUGUAGAGGUGAAAUUCGUAGAUAUUCGGAGGAACACCAGUGGCGAAGGCGGCUCACUGGCUCGAUACUGACGCUGAGGUGCGAAAGCGUGGGGAGCAAACAGGAUUAGAAACCCCGGUAGUCC
rnacentral:rRNA from 1 species